AUUUAAUCCCUAACCGGAGCGAUAUUGUUCAAGCUAUACAGAUGCUUCUAUCCUACAAUCGUUCGCAAUGCGGUCCCAGUAAAUAAUUUCAUAAAAAGAUAGCAAAAAAUUUUGAAGGAUUAUACGAAAGCUAAAUAGUACUGAGUGAUUUUAUAAAGACUGGAGACCGAUUCAGUGCGUUCCAAAAUUCCUUUUGGGACAAUAUCAAAAAUUAUCUAUUUACUAAAGCGUUUUAUGAAACAAGAGAAGAAAGUAACAGAUACACAUUAAAUAUUAAUAUUCUGAAUGAUUUUGAGCUGGAUAAGUCAUUUUGACCUACACGCUAGUUGUUUUGCAACGUGUUUUUAGACAAAAUAGACUCAUUUCGGAUAUCGUGAUAACUAAUAUAAGAAAAAAGAAAAAGUGAAAGAUUUUGUACUAUCUAAAAAAAAAGCUGUUAUACAGAUAAAUUAGAUAGAGGACGAAAUAGUAAAUAUGUUACGAGAGAGCAUCAUAAAAACCAAAAGAAAAUAAAUGAGUAGCACUUACAGAGACACGAAUGACGAACAGUUUUUCAAUUAGUGCUGGGAGAUUUGGAGAAAGGAGCGAUUAUAUUAUUGAAAAAUUUUUAUAGAUCAGGUAU